rnacentral:rRNA from 1 species
AGCGAACGCUGGCGGCAGGCCUAAUACAUGCAAGUCGAGCGGCCCUUCGGGGCAGCGGCGGACGGGUGAGUAACGCGUGGGAACGUGCCCUUUGGUACGGAACAACUGAGGGAAACUUCAGCUAAUACCGUAUGUGCCCUACGGGGGAAAGAUUUAUCGCCAUUGGAGCGGCCCGCGUUGGAUUAGCUAGUUGGUGGGGUAAAGGCCCACCAAGGCGACGAUCCAUAGCUGGUCUGAGAGGAUGAUCAGCCACACUGGGACUGAGACACGGCCCAGACUCCUACGGGAGGCAGCAGUAGGGAAUCUUGCGCAAUGGGCGAAAGCCUGACGCAGCCAUGCCGCGUGAAUGAUGAAGGUCUUAGGAUUGUAAAAUUCUUUCACCGGGGAAGAUAAUG